rnacentral:piRNA from 1 species
UACUCGGAAGUGCACCCUCGCCUAGGGAAC